AUGCACAGCAUAAAUCCAGCUCAGAGUGUGUUUCCAGGCUCUGAGGAGAUGCUAAUUAGCAUGACAUAUCUUUGGAAACAUGGAGCCAAUAUAUCUUUGAUAUACAUGGAGCAAAUCAACAAAGAUAAUGAGUCCAGCUGGUGGUUCUGUAAGUGGGCAGAAGGAAACAAGUUAACCCAAGAUUCUUGGGACAAGGCUAGGAGAAGGGGAUUGACUGCAACGGCCUCUGAAGGGACAUCCAGAGUGGCAGGAGUGUUCUACAUGAUAGCCACCCCAUCAUGA
rnacentral:lncRNA from 1 species